rnacentral:snRNA from 1 species
AAACAUGGUAUGAUCUAGUUCUGUCACUCCACUGACUGCCACUGACCUGGCUGAUACGGCUGGUUAGAUGGAAUCCCCUUUCUCCUCCAUGCUUUGUGACCGUCCCUUCAAAAGCUGCAUGCUUAGAACAAGAGAACGGUCUCUGGUACGGAAGACCAUUCUUCUUGAUCUGCAAUCAUCCUAGAACCUUCAGAGCUGUUGUCAAGAAGGUAUCUCUGUGAACAAAAGCUUUCUUCUUGCCAGCUAGCAUUUAUAGUUCCAGAAAGUGCUUCACAGGCCACU